AUUGAACGCUGGCGGCAGGCCUAACACAUGCAAGUCGAACGAGUGGCGGACGGGUGAGUAAUGUCUGGGAAACUGCCCGAUGGAGGGGGAUAACUACUGGAAACGGUAGCUAAUACCGCAUACUAUCGGAUGUGCCCAGAUGGGAUUAGCUAGUGGGUGGGGUAACGCCUCACCUAGGCGCCGAUCCCUAGCUGGUCUGAGAGGAUGACCGGCCACCCGGGAACUGGGACACGGUCCAGACUCCUACGGGAGGCAGCAGUGGGGAAUAUUGCACAAUGGGCGCAAGCCUGAUGCAGCCAUGCCGCGUGUAUGAAGAAGGCCUUCGGGUUGUAAAGUACUUUCGGCGGGGAGGCGUUACCCGCAGAAGAAGCACCGGCUAACUCCGUGCCAGCAGCCGCGGUAAUUC
rnacentral:rRNA from 1 species